AAUGGAGACAACAAAGUACUGACCUCAAGGAAUUGCUGAAAAGUAAAUGAAAUAAUAUACCACUGUCUAUGACCACCACAUAUGCCUGUCUCCAAUAUUACGCUUUCAGAUAAGAAGGCCUGUAUCUAUCUAUAUCAUGCUAUAAAUUCACCAAGCCUGAUGCCAGCACAAAUAAUCACAUUACUCGUUGCUAUGCGAUGUUUGUAUCCUACUAUUGAAUAACUAAAAAAAUAAAACCAGCUGCCAUAUUUUAG
rnacentral:lncRNA from 1 species